AGCUGAAGAGAAUGAGUUGAAGAGAAACAGAGCAAAUAAAGCUAAUCAUUACUUUAGCCUCACAGCUUAGUAAACAUUUGCAGGUUGCUCUUAAAGCCACUAGAUGCAGGCUGUAACAGCUGAAGGGAAUCCCUAAUCUUUUAACUACAAAUGCAAAGUACAAGGUUCGAUCCUCAUGGAGCUUGCGUGGAAUACCGGAAUUAAAUACAUUCAAAAGGGAUGGAAUACUGAUGGAAACCCUGACUGGGGUCUCCCCAGAAUAUGAGGAAUGACUACAGACUUCUAAAUUGUACAGAGCUGCAACUUAAAAUGAGAUUAAAUUCCUUUCAGUCUUUGCUUAAGAAACAGCCCUGGCACUUGUAAGACGAUGCGGCAUGCCAAAUUAAAAAAAAAAGAAAACCAUAACAUAGUAGGUUAAAAUUAGUUUGAUAUUAAGUAUAUACCAAAAUUUCCCAAUAUAUCUGUAUUUAUGUGGGAGGGCAUCUCUUGACUAAGAGACAAAUGUAAGGUUUGCAUGUUCAUCAUCACUCACCAGGAAAUUAGAGGGACAGAAAUUAACCUCUGAAGUCUAGGAUCCAAAAAGACUGGAAGGUGCUGUAAUACCUGCCUCAUUUCAGGAGACUGACUGCUCAGUCUUCUGAGACUGGAGCUGUGAGACCACCGCCAACCAGGUGUGCAUCCUAAACCUGACAGCCUGAUAGGAACCCUCUCCUAACAUCAGCUGGUGCUUCUAUCCCAGAAAUUGCAUCUGAUUACAAAUGCCUCAAGAAUGACUUCAAGAAUCGUGAGGACCACAAUAAGACAGUUUACCCUUCCCAUCUCCUGUGACUCAAUCAAGCUGAGCCUGGGUGAUAAUGAACAGGGGAAUAAUCGUAAGCUCUCAAUUUGCUUAAAUUUUAGAGGGAAAAGUGCAGAAAAAUGUGUACUAGCCAAUGUUAAAUAAAAAAUAACCAUGCAAAAGAUGCCUGGAAUAGUAGUCAUGAAGUUGACAGAAACUACUGCUAAAACACAAUUAUAAGUACUUCUUCAGUGUUACAGCUUUUUUCUUUUAACCCUGCACGCUUACCUUUAGAGAAACCAAGAAGGCAGAAGAACUGAAGCUCUCCUGAGCACAAACAGAUAAAUGCAGUAGGCAGUUCCCUACCUGAACUGCGUGGGACUUAACACACAGCUAACUCACUUAUUAAUCAGAUAAUUUAGGUCAUGGUCUAAACUGCUUUGAAGCAAAGCUAACAAUAAAUCAGCUUCAGUAUUGCAGCUUCUGAAGAGAGUUCAGAAAUUCAUGAUAAUACAGAGAACUCUGCUUAAAGAGAACAGG